rnacentral:rRNA from 1 species
GACGAACGCUGGCGGCGUGCUUAACACAUGCGAGUCGAACGGAAAGGCCCUGCUUUUGUGGGGUGCUCGAGUGGCGAACGGGUGAGUAACACGUGAGUAACCUGCCCUUGACUUUGGGACAACUUCAGGAAACUGGGGCUAAUACCGGAUAGGAGCUCCUGCUGCAUGGUGGGGGUUGGAAAGUUUCGGCGGUUGGGGAUGGACUCGCGGCUUAUCAGCUUGUUGGUGGGGUAGUGGCUUACCAAGGCUUUGACGGGUAGCCGGCCUGAGAGGGUGACCGGCCACAUUGGGACAGAGAUACGGCCCAGACUCCUACGGGAUGCAGCAGUGGGGAAUAUUGCACAAUGGGCGGAAGCCUGAUGCAGCAACGCCGCGUGCGGGAUGACGGCCUUCGGGUUGUAAACCGCUUUCGCAUGUGACGAAGCGUAAGUGACGGUAAUGGGUAAAGAAGCACCGGCUAACUACGUG